rnacentral:lncRNA from 1 species
GUGUGCAGCCCACAUAAAUCAUCAGUUAAGGCGAAGUACCACAGGCUUGCCCACAGCCAACCUGCACGGACAUUUUCUCAAUUGAGUUUCCCUCAUCCCAGAUGUCUUCAGCUGGGGUUAGGUUGACACAAAACUAACCAGCACAGCCUGUGUUCCAAACUUGACUCUGCAGGCGGGAAGUCAGUACUUUAGACUUCUGGCCUGGGGAGAAUUAUGAAAGUGACUGUGAAGGAUUCCGCUGGGGCGACUCAUUCAUUUCCUCUUUCCCAUGAGUCAUUGCGAAGCGCCUAUGGUUACAGGAGCCACACAAGUCUGGCUCUUCCAUAAACACCGCUUGAUCCUGGGGCUAACAGUGCCUGGUACACACUGGACAGCCAACAAAUACUGUCCUGUGGAGGAACGGAUGUGGACUAGGUUCUAGAAAGGAAAAACAAAAAACAAAAAACGACACGACAACUUAGAGAUGGUCUUCACGGAGCUUGGACUCAAGGGAGGAUGAAACCUGGACAGUUCGUUCUGAAAAGAGUCCCUUCAGAUAUCUAGUAACCUGGCAAGAGAAAACUCUGGACCAUGGCUAGGACUUGGUACCUGUCAGUCUUCCUGGAGGACGCUCUGGCUGAGCCUUUCACUGCAGGAACAUGGAGCCUAUUUCUGAGAGAGAAGACACCGAAAGCAUAGCAGCGUCAAGGUAGUUUGUGAGCUACAGGAUGGAAAGCAGCUGGUCGUCUUCACUUAAGGACCUUGCCUCCGUGUCUCAAUACCACACUUCUCAUGAGCAAAGCUUCCCAGAGAAGCUGGACAGGAACGCAGGGGUCCUCCUAAUGCUACCUUCUCCAACUCUAAUGAGAAGGAUUUACCUCAACCAGCAGGGAUCCAGAAGUCCACGUUGUUAAGUGCACAGCCCAUGGGGUGGUUGUUCUUAGGAGAGAGGUCUAUUAAUCCUCUCCUACCAGGUCCAACCAUGGUCAUUAUCCAUAGUCUUCUCAAAGAGGACAGUCAGCAGUGAGGUACUACUCAACGGGACAGGAGCCUAGAGAUACUGUUGCUGUUUAGGACAGAUGACAUUUACUUCAGGGGGAACUGAUCACAGUCUAACCAGCCUUGAGUAUAUCUGAGAGACAGAAGGGCCCCAGAGCUC